rnacentral:rRNA from 1 species
GCAAUCUACCUUUUGCAGAGGGAUAGCCCAGAGAAAUUUGGAUUAAUAUCUCAUAGUAUUAUAGAAUGGCAUCAUUUUAUAAUUAAAGUCACAACGGCAAAAGAUGAGCAUGCGUCUCAUUAGCUAGUUGGUAAGGUAACGGCUUACCAAGGCUACGAUGGGUAGGGGUCCUGAGAGGGAGAUCCCCCACACUGGUACUGAGACACGGACCAGACUCCUACGGGAGGCAGCAGUGAGGAAUAUUGGUCAAUGGACGCAAGUCUGAACCAGCCAUGCCGCGUGCAGGAUGACGGUCCUAUGGAUUGUAAACUGCUUUUGUACGAGAAGAAACAUCCCGACGUGUCGGGACUUGACGGUAUCGUAAGAAUAAGGAUCGGCUAACUCCGUGCCAGCAGCCGCGGUAAUACGGAGGAUCCAAGCGUUAUCCGGAAUCAUUGGGUUUAAAGGGUCCGUAGGCGGUUUGGUAAGUCAGUGGUGAAAGCCCAUCGCUCAACGGUGGAACGGCCAUUGAUACUGCUAGACUUGAAUAAUUAGGAAGUAACUAGAAUAUGUAGUGUAGCGGUGAAAUGCUUAGAGAUUACAUGGAAUACCAAUUGCGAAGGCAGGUUACUACUAAUUCAUUGACGCUGAUGGACGAAAGCGUGGGUAGCGAACAGGACUAGAUACCCUGGUAGUCCACGCCGUAAACGAUGGAUACUAGCUGUUGGGGGCAACUUCAGUGGCUAAGCGAAAGUGAUAAGUAUCCCACCUGGGGAGUACGAACGCAAGUUUGAAACUCAAAGGAAUUGACGGGGGCCCGCACAAGCGGUGGAGCAUGUGGUUUAAUUCGAUG